GCAGGGCAUGGCUGACGCGCCCUCUGCCUGCGCUUAUGUGAGAGAAAGCGGCCGAGGGAGGGAGCGUGCCGAGCCCGGCCGCCCUCCCCUCGCCCUUUCCUAGGAAGCGGCUCCCCGCGCUCCGGGCCGCGCCGCCCGGCGCCCCUCCCCCCGCCCCUCCCCCCGCUCGCUCGCGGAGCGCGGCCCGGGGCGCGGGCGGCGCGGGGGCUCGGGGGCGCUGGCCCAGCGCCGGGAGGUGGCUCGGGAGGAGCGAGCCCGCCCUUUGUCCUCGGCAGCCCGGGGGCUCCGGUCCGAGUCCCGGCAGCCCGGCCCUGGGCGCCCUGCUCGAGGGGUGGAAGGAGCCCCGCACUCCAGAAGGGGCGAGAGAAAGUCAGCCCCGGGCGGAACCCCCGCCCGUUGGGCCACGCGGGGCCCGGGGCAGCCGAAUGAGGGCAGGCCGCGGGGGGAAGGCCCGAGAGCGCAGACUCGGGGCAGAUGCGGAAGGAGCAACUGGCUCCUCACCGAGAAGCUUCGGGGCGGCGUGGCUUUCAGUGAGAAGGGGAGUGACGGAGAGGCACGUGUUAAGCACGCUGUCGUCGGAAGCGACAAAUGCCGAAGGCGACAGCAUCUCCCGGUUGGCAAGGCACCCCGGGGCCGCUUGCUCCGGGUGGAGAGGCGACUUUCCCAUCUGAGGCAACGCUCUGCAGGUUCUGCAACUCCCCUCCCCCCGGUUUACUUGAAGCCCCGGUUCCGCCCGGGACGGGAGCCCCCGCUCUGCGCGGCGGUCCAUUGCCCGUUUGACGGUCAGCAUCGCUAAGUGCUUCCUCCCAUCUGCCCGUUGCUCUGCCUUCUGGACUUCACACCGUAAAGCGAAUCUAACUUCCUUAUGUUUGCUGGUGAUAUUUUGGGGAGUUCAACGACCUGGACGUCCUACCAAGAUCCUAUUGAUACUUCCCUUGCUUGCUGCUGAAGCCUAAGACCUUCAAUUCAGAAACAGGGGAAACCACUGAGGCCUACAGUGAGGGGGUCCUUGUUAAACGUUUCUGAACCAACCUUACCCACUGGGGGCAGACACCAAAAACAACAGGAACUAUGAACCUGCAGACUGCGAAAAGGGGACCCCAAACACAGAUACCAUGUUUGAGGAAAAGUACAAGACGAAGAGUAAUCUCUCUGGAACAUGAAGAACAGGAUGGAACGGAUUGCAGAUACUAAG